rnacentral:rRNA from 1 species
AAAGGCGUAGUGGAAGGACAACAGGUUGAUAUUCCUGUACCACCGUAAGCCGUUAUGAGCAAUGGGGUGACACAGAAGGGCAGUGACGCGGACUGAUGGAAUAGUCCGUCCAAGCAGUGAGGCUAGUCGGUAGGCAAAUCCGCCGACUAUUAGGCUGGGCUGUGAUGGGGAGCGAAAAUUGCAGUAGCGAAGGUCAUGUACUCCGGCUGUCGAGAAAAGCCUCUAGCCAGGCGAAGGUGCCCGUACCGCAAACCGACACAGGUAGGCGAGCA